rnacentral:rRNA from 1 species
AGAGUUUGAUCAUGGCUCAGAAUGAACGUUGGCAGCGUGGAUUAGGCAUGCAAGUCGAGCGACAAGGUCCUUCGGGACUGGAGGAGCGGCAAACGGGGUAGUAGUACAUCGGAACGUACCCUCACGUCUGGGAUAGCCACGGGAAACUGUGGGUAAUACUGGAUAAUCUCACCACUUGUGAAGAGUGGUGAGCAAAGGUCCGCCGCGUGAGGAGCGGCCGAUGCGAUACUAGAUAGUUGGUGGGGUAAUGGCCUACCAAGUCUAAGAUGUCUAGGGGGUGUGAGAGCAUGGCCCCCACCACUGGGACUGAGACACUGCCCAGACACCUACGGGUGGCUGCAGUCGAGAAUCUUUGGCAAUGGGCGCAAGCCUGACCAAGCGACGCUGCGUGCGGGAUGAAGGCCCUUGGGUUGUAAACCGCUGUCAGGGGGGAUCAAGGCGAAAGCUUGAGAGAGCCCCAGAGGAAGCACGGGCUAAGUUCGUGCCAGCAGCCGCGGUAAUACGAACUGUGCGAACGUUAUUCGGAAUCACUGGGCUUACAGGGUGCGUAGGCGGCCAUUCAAGUCAGGUGUGAAAUCCCACGGCUCAACCGUGGAACUGCGCUUGAAACUGUUUGGCUUGAGUUAGCUAGAGGUAAACGGAACUUCCGGUGGAGCGGUGAUAUGUGUUGAUAUCGGAAGGAACACCAGAGGCGAAAGC